GCUACGUCGCGCAUGCGUAUUGCGGACGUCGCCAUUCUUGGCCCUUGGCGAAACUGCGUCUCACCUGCUCCUGAGGGCUGUAGGUGGCUUUGCUGCAUCCAUUGUCGCGCCGUGACCUGUAGGUACUGACAUCAGUAGGGAGGACACCGGGACUUCCCGAACGCUGGGAAAUGAACUCAGUCUCCUUUGAGGAUGUGGCUGUGAACUUCACCCUGGAGGAGUGGGCUUUGCUGGAUUCUUCACAGAAAAAGCUCUACAAAGAUGUGAUGCGGGAGACCUUCAAUAACCUUGUCUGUCUAGGAAAAAGCUGGGAAGACCAGGAUGUUGAAGAUGACCACAGAAACCUGGGGAGAAAUCGAAGGUGAGUUGCAGCCACAGAAGAGUAGUGGCCUGUGGGAGAAUUUCACAAGAAAGCAAGCAACACAAUAAGCACAGCUUCAAAUAUACUUAUUCCUAAAAAAUUUUCACUGAAAAUGUUUUCU